AAGCAGAGAGACAGGCAUAAGCAGAGAGACAGUAGACAGGCGUAAGCAGAGAGACGGGCAUAAGCAGAAUGUCAGUAGACAGGUUUAGCAGAGAGACAGCUUCAACAUAGAAAGAGACAAAAGAACAUAAUCAGCAGAGACCGGUAGACAGGAGACAGCGCAACCAAGGCAGAGUUUAUCAGUGGGUGUGAGCGAGAGAGAGAGAGAGAGAGAGAGAGAGAGCGCGAGAGAGAGAGACAGCUGUCUUAUAUCCUGUAAUUCAGUUCAUUGGAUGUUGGUGAAAAUGUAAAGGCACGGCAGAGCGCACUGGUGCGUGUUGAAGACGGAGAGUAGUGUUUACUCAUGUCGCUGAAUUUCACGGCGUUUUGAACGAACAAAUCUUUGGCAUUAUCGCCGAUCCGUAAAUAAGUGUUUCCUCCUCUCUGACGCUUAGCUGCUGCGUUGUUCUUCUUCAGCAACUUGUAAUGGCACGCCAUGCAGAUCUGUCAUCAGUGUUUCCUUCUGGUGUGUGUGUGUGUGUGUGUGUGUGUGUGUGUGUGUGUGUGUGAGAUCAUGCUCGUUCUCUUCCUCCCUGUCUCGGAGGAUCUGUAAAGCACGAGACAAUACAGCACGGUCUGAGGAACAUCUGAAGCGUGUGGAAGAAGUCGGCCAUGUUUGAUGGGCACUCUGGGUGGUGUGUUAGUGAGAAAAACAGGAAGUGAAGAGGAUGGAACAGGAAAUUAAUCCCGAGGAUAAUGAAUAUAAUAUAAAAUUCUGGUUUAAGUGUGUGUGUGUGUGUGUGCACGUCCUGAAGUGUUUUAUUCCUUCACACCACAGCGAAUUUUCCACUGAUUCCGUUUUGUAUUUAUUAAAGAACGACACACAAUGUAGUUAUACCCCAGCACGUGGUUUCAACGGAAGGAGUCUCCAGUGUCGGAGGUAAAGCUGGAAGUUGUUGUUUUUUUUUUUUUCUCUGACAUCUUUAGGACAGAGGGGGUUUUAAUCAUUUUUUUUUGUGUAUCAAACAGUGUUUAUUACAGAACGAGAAAGUGAAGGGACGACAGUUUAGGGCUGCCGCAAGAUAAGUAACGGCAGAAACUCGUGUUGUGGACGUUCUGUAACAAUAAACGGACAAAAAAUAUAUAUUUUCCAAAAAUGUCAUCUUUGGAGAAUUGUUCAGCAGCGGUUAGAAUCCUGGUCAUGAACUGACGAGGUUAAAAUGAGGGAUUGUCGGAGUGAGAGAAACGGCUAAACACGUAGCGUAGUGCUAAGAAAAACAUACACACAAGCACACACACACACACACACACAUUACGUUAGUGUGUAAAUGUUCGAUCUGUUACUGUGUGGGAUUUACACACUGCGUUUAUUCACGUUCUCCUCAUCCUCACUGUGUGCUGCACUUAAAUCUUGCAUCACUCUUGUUUUUAUUUCAAUGCUAAGCUACCUUUAGGGCUUUGAGCCGCCGGUCGUGUCCCAAACCCAUAACACUCUGGUGCUCGGUGUGGUUCGGACCCACCGCAGCACAGUGGAGAGGCUUCAAAGAGCCUGUAGACUAAACAAACAGCUGUUUCUCUCUCUCUCUCUCUCUCUCUCUCUCCUCUUUUUUUUCCUCUUCUCCUUUCAUUUUCUUCGUUCUUUCUCCUUUCCUCCUGGUCCACAUCUCGGAUUGUUCGGGGUUUUCGUUUUAACCCGUCCCGGACUCGGUGCUCUGUGUUUUGCGGUCGAGCGAGUUAAAAUAGCAGUUUAGGAAUGUUCUGUGUCACAGGUGUACAUCAACUCGACGCCUUAUUUCGUCUGCCUGGAAGUAGAAAAUAAAAAGAGUAAUAAAACGAACCGAUUCGUACCGACGCUGUAUUUUGACACUGGAGCGACGUGACUGAAAUGUCGCAGCUGACAGCGUUGUAGAAAUGACGGGUUUCAUUUAUUAAAAUGAUAUUUCACUGCACUGCUACUACCGUCGAAUAGCUCUGUUUUAAUUAAAUACAAAAAGUUUUGUGACGAUAACACAACACAGUCCUGUUCUCUGUGUAGAGUUCAUUUAUUACAGUCUCGGC
ensembl:lncRNA